GGGGGGAGGCCGGAUCCUGGGCUGUGUCCCGGCGCCCUGGUCUCUGGGGCCUGCGCUGUUGGAUUCGCGCUCCCGCCCCGCAGCCCCCU
rnacentral:pre_miRNA from 1 species